AGGAGUGAAUUAAGUUUCCAGCAACACCAAAACACUACUGUGGCAAGGAGAUAAGAUAGCUCCAUGUUAGCAAGCAUGUUUUAAGGGCAAAUACAUACAUAUAAGCUACCGUCAACACCCCAAGAAAACCGGUGCCAAGAUGUGACAAACAAGAGACAAAGAAAGGAGAAGAAAAAGAUGGCUGGAGCAGCAAGUCGGGCUCUCUCUUAUCGACUUUCCUAUAGCAGACGUAGUCCUGCUCACACAGGGGCAUAUCCCCAAACCACUCACUUACGUGGGAUCGAGAAUGGUCUUCCCCCUAAGCUCUUCCCCUGCCCGGCUGAACUCCAAGACUCCAGUUGUCAAAGAACAAGAAUUAGGAGAAUGCAAGAAGUCGUGUACCACAUCUCACAUAUUCCAUGGUGCCAGGGUAGCAACCAUCCAUCCCAAGUCUCAGGAUGAAAGAAUGUAGAGCUGCUGUUAACUGUUAUUUUAUGAUUGGUGAUAAUUGAACAAGAAUUUUAUUACUUUAAAUUCUGGGUUCUCCAUAAAAAGAAUUGCAUUUUCUGGGGUUUUCAUAGUGGCACUAUUUGAUUUGUUAAUUAAUG